rnacentral:rRNA from 1 species
GGAUACGACCGCCUUAGGCAUCUUUGGUGGUGGAAAGUUUUUUCGGUUGGGGAUGGGCUCGCGGCCAAUCAGCUUGUUGGUGGGGUAGUGGCCUACCAAGGCGACGACGGGUAGCCGGCCUGAGAGGGCGACCGGCCACACUGGGACUGAGACACGGCCCAGACUCCUACGGGAGGCAGCAGUGGGGAAUAUUGCACAAUGGGGGGAACCCUGAUGCAGCGACGCCGCGUGCGGGAUGACGGCCUUCGGGUUGUAAACCGCUUUCAGCAGGGACGAAUCUGACGGUACCUGCAGAAGAAGCGCCGGCUAACUACGUGCCAGCAGCCGCGGUAAUACGUAGGGCGCAAGCGUUGUCCGGAAUUAUUGGGCGUAAAGAGCUCGUAGGCGGCUCGUCGCGUCGG